rnacentral:rRNA from 1 species
AGGACGAACGCUGGCGGCGUGCUUAACACAUGCAAGUCGAGCGGAAAGGCCCUUCGGGGUACUCGAGCGGCGAACGGGUGAGUAACACGUGGGCAACCUGCCCCUAGCUCUGGGAUAACUCCGGGAAACCGGGGCUAAUACCGGAUACGAUCUUCCAUGGCAUCUCGGAAGAUGGAAAGUUUUUCGGCUAGGGAUGGGCCCGCGGCCUAUCAGCUUGUUGGUGAGGUAACGGCCCACCAGGGCGACGACGGGUAGCCGGCCUGAGACGGGCGACCGGCCAACGACGUGGACUGAGACACGGCCCAGACU